UCCUACGGGAGCAGCAGUGGGGAAUAUUGCGCAAUGGGGGAAACCCUGACGCAGCAACGCCGCGUGAGUGAUGAAGGCCUUAGGGUUGUAAAGCUCUGUUAUCUGGGACGAUAAUGACGGUACCAGAGGAGGAAGCCACGGCUAACUACGUGCCAGCAGCCGCGGUAAUACGUAGGUGGCGAGCGUUGUCCGGAUUUACUGGGCGUAAAGAGUGCGUAGGCGGAUGUUUAAGUGAGAUGUGAAAUACCCGAGCUCAACUUGGGUGCUGCAUUUCAAACUGGGCAUCUAGAGUGCAGGAGAGGAAAGCGGAAUUCCUAGUGUAGCGGUGAAAUGCGUAGAGAUUAGGAAGAACACCAGUGGCGAAGGCGGCUUUCUGGACUGUAACUGACGCUGAGGCACGAAAGCGUGGGGAGCAAACAGGAUUAGAUACCCUGGUAGUCCACGCCGUAAACGAUGGGUACUAGGUGUCGGGGGUCCAACCUCGGUGCCGCAGUAAACACAUUAAGUACCCCGCCUGGGGAGUACGGUCGCAAGAUUAAAACUCAAAG
rnacentral:rRNA from 1 species